AGUUUUUUUAAUCAUUAGAAAAUAUAAUCUGCCCAUUGAAAAUAUUUUUUUUUAAAAGGCCGCAGUAUAUUGACUGUGCAAAGGUAGCAUAAUCAUUAGAUUUUUAAUUGGGAUCUUGAAUGAAUGGUUAAAUGAAAUAUAAACUUUUUUAAUUUUAUUAUUUGAAUUUUAUUUAUAAGUAAAAAAUCUUAUUUUAAAAAAUGGGACGAGAAGACCCUAUAGAAUUUUAUAAAUUUGAUUAAUUUAUUAUUAAUAUUUAAUUUAUUAUUUUAAAUUUUAUUUUGUUGGGGAGAUAGUUAAAUUUUUAAAACUUUAAUAAAAAAAAAUCAUUUAUUAAUGUUAAAUUGAUCCUUUUAUAUUGAUUAUAAAAUUAAAUUACCUUAGGGAUAACAGCAUAAUAAUUUUAAUAAGUUCUUAUUUUUAAAGUAGUUUAUGACCUCGAUGUUGAAUUAAAAUAAUUAUUUUAUGAAGGGAUAAAAUAAAUAAGUCUGUUCGACUUUUAAAUUUUUACAUGAUUUGAGUUCAAAUCGGUGUAAG
rnacentral:rRNA from 1 species